ACGGGGAGCAGCAGGCGCGAAACCUUUACACUGCACGACGUGCGAUAAGGGGACCCCGAGUGCGAGGGCAUACAGAUCCUCGCUUUUGUAUACCGUAAGGAGGUACACGAAUAAGAGCUGGGCAAGACCGGUGCCAGCCGCCGCGGUAAUACCGGCAGCUCGAGUGAUGGCCGAUCUUAUUGGGCCUAAAGCGUCCGUAGCCGGCCGGGCAAGUCCGUUGGGAAAUCUGUUCGCUUAACGAACAGGCGUCCAGCGGAAACUGCUCGGCUUGGGACCGAAAGACCUGAGGGGUACGUCCGGGGUAGGAGUGAAAUCCUGUAAUCCUGGACGGGCCGCCGAUGGGGAAACCACCUCAGGAGGGCGGAUCCGACGGUGAGGGACGAAAGCUAGGGUCUCGAACCGGAUUAGAUACCCGGGUAGUCCUAGCUGUAAACGAUGUCUGCUAGGUGUGGCACAGGUCUACGAGCCUGUGCUGUGCCGUAGGGAAGCCGAGAAGCAGACCGCCUGGGAAGUACGUCCGCAAGGAUGAAACUUAAAGGAAUUGGCGGGGGAGCAC
rnacentral:rRNA from 1 species